rnacentral:rRNA from 1 species
UACGUAGGUGGCAAGCGUUGUCCGGAAUUACUGGGCGUAAAGCGUGCGCAGGCGGUUAUAUAAGACAGUUGUGAAAUCCCCGGGCUCAACCUGGGAACUGCAUCUGUGACUGUAUAGCUAGAGUACGGUAGAGGGGGAUGGAAUUCCGCGUGUAGCAGUGAAAUGCGUAGAUAUGCGGAGGAACACCGAUGGCGAAGGCAAUCCCCUGGACCUGUACUGACGCUCAUGCACGAAAGCGUGGGGAGCAAACAGG